GAUCGAUCGGAAGCUCUGUGCUGCAGUCCCACACCCAGCUCAGGUGGCCGGUCUGGGCGCGGCGAGAACAAGGCGCGACGUCCGCGAAGCGGUGAAAGGGCAGAGGGGACGAAGGCGGAGUGAGGCGAGUGCUCAGGUUCACGCAGAUGCAGCUCGAGCUUGUCGGCCCAAGGUGGGUCUGGGCGAGAGCCCCAAACCCUGGCAGCCCUGCCUCCAGCCCCGAGACGUUUUCGGCUGAAACUCCGGAGGGACUCUGGACCGCAAAGCCCCGUGGGGGAAGGGAGGGAGACGUUCCCGCUAGGAGCCAGGGGAGGGGUCUCCCGGAAGGGCGACUCAACUCUCCGCCCCCUCGGGGAAGCUGUUGCGUCAGCUUCGAGAUCCCAAAUUAAAGCAAGUGGUCUCCACCCGGCUGGAAGGUGUCAGGCCGUAGAGCCGCCGCCAGGAGGCAGCAC